GGGCCCGCACAAGCGGUGGAGCAUGUGGUUUAAUUCGAUGAUACGCGAGGAACCUUACCAGGGCUUAAAUGUAAGUUGCAUUAGUUAGAGAUAGCUAUUUCUUCGGACCACUUACAAGGUGCUGCAUGGUUGUCGUCAGCUCGUGCCGUGAGGUGUCAGGUUAAGUCCUAUAACGAGCGCAACCCCUGUUGUUAGUUGCCAGCGAGUCAUGUCGGGAACUCUAACAAGACUGCCGGUGCAAACCGUGAGGAAGGUGGGGAUGACGUCAAAUCAUCACGGCCCUUACGUCCUGGGCUACACACGUGCUACAAUGGUCGGUACAGAGAGCAGCCACUACGCGAGUAGGCGCGAAUCUUCAAAGCCGGUCUCAGUUCGGAUUGUAGGCUGCAACUCGCCUACAUGAAGGUGGAAUC
rnacentral:rRNA from 1 species